ACGGGUGAGUAAUGCCUAGGAAUCUGCCUGGUAGUGGGGGACAACGUCUCGAAAGGGACGCUAAUACCGCAUACGUCCUACGGGAGAAAGUGGGGGAUCUUCGGACCUCACGCUAUCAGAUGAGCCUAGGUCGGAUUAGCUAGUUGGUGAGGUAAUGGCUCACCAAGGCGACGAUCCGUAACUGGUCUGAGAGGAUGAUCAGUCACACUGGAACUGAGACACGGUCCAGACUCCUACGGGAGGCAGCAGUGGGGAAUAUUGGACAAUGGGCGAAAGCCUGAUCCAGCCAUGCCGCGUGUGUGAAGAAGGUCUUCGGAUUGUAAAGCACUUUAAGUUGGGAGGAAGGGUUGUAGAUUAAUACUCUGCAAUUUUGACGUUACCGACAGAAUAAGCACCGGCUAACUCUGUGCCAGCGGCCGCGGUAAUACAGAGGGUGCAAGCGUUAAUCGGAAUUACUGGGCGUAAAGCGCGCGUAGGUGGUUUGUUAAGUUGAAUGUGAAAUCCCCGGGCUCAACCUGGGAACUGCAUCCAAAACUGGCAAGCUAGAGUAGGGCAGAGGGUGGUGGAAUUUCCUGUGUAGCGGUGA
rnacentral:rRNA from 1 species